UGUCAAGACUCCGACAUCACCGGAAGCUGAGUCAUCCUUGUCCUCUGGAUCCUCAGCUCGUGCUCCAGAAUAUCCUUCUGGUACUCUAGAGACCUAUAUACCUCUACGUACCAGACCUGCACAACUUUGGCUUAGUUGUCUCCUCUACUCUGGUUUCUCCGACGAGAAACAUUGUUGCUCCCCUCCGAUACCUCCACGGAAGGGCUCUGAUUCUGUAUCCCUGGUCUAGCUCCUCCUCUAGAUCAAAUACAGUUAUCCUGUUCUCGACUGCGGUGCAAUUUAAUGAACUAUAGGCUACAAACCUCUGGACAAAUCAACAUUUUCACGGUUGAGUCCUGUAUAAACUGCCUACCUGAAAUAUAUACAUAAGAUUUAAUCAGUGCAAAUAGAGGUGAGCCGAAGAGAAAGAGUUCAUGCUCGCUCUUAUGUUUGUAGUUAUUACCUGGUCUCCUAUAGGUAAAAAUGAGCACAGAAUUGGCGCAUUCCGGGUUCUUUUGAGAACAAGACUCAACCUUGAGCCUUAUUCUCCACUAAAAACAACCAAGG